AGUGGCGGACGGGUGAGUAAUGUCUGGGGAUCUGCCCGAUGGAGGGGGAUAACUACUGGAAACGGUAGCUAAUACCGCAUAACCUCGAAAGAGCAAAGUGGGGGACCUUCGGGCCUCACACCAUCGGAUGAACCCAGAUGGGAUUAGCUAGUAGGUGGGGUAACGGCUCACCUAGGCGACGAUCCCUAGCUGGUCUGAGAGGAUGACCAGCCACACUGGAACUGAGACACGGUCCAGACUCCUACGGGAGGCAGCAGUGGGGAAUAUUGCACAAUGGGCGCAAGCCUGAUGCAGCCAUGCCGCGUGUAUGAAGAAGGCCUUCGGGUUGUAAAGUACUUUCAGCGGGGAGGAAGGGAUGAGGGUUAAUAACCUUCGUCAUUGACGUUACCCGCAGAAGAAGCACCGGCUAACUCCGUGCCAGCAGCCGCGGUAAUACGGAGGGUGCAAGCGUUAAUCGGAAUUACUGGGCGUAAAGCGCACGCAGGCGGUUUGUUAAGUCAGAUGUGAAAUCCCCGGGCUCAACCUGGGAACUGCAUUUGAAACUGGCAAGCUUGAGUCUCGUAGAGGGGGGUAGAAUUCCAGGUGUAGCGGUGAAAUGCGUAGAGAUCUGGAGGAAUACCGGUGGCGAAGGCGGCCCCCUGGACGAAGACUGACGCUCAGGUGCGAAAGCGUGGGGAGCAAACAGGAUUAGAUACCCUGGUAGUCCACGCCGUAAACGAUGUCGACUUGGAGGUUGUGCCCUUGAGGCGUGGCUUCCGGAGCUAACGCGUUAAGUCGACCGCCUGGGGAGUACGGCCGCAAGGUUAAAACUCAAAUGAAUUGACGGGGGCCCGCACAAGCGGUGGAGCAUGUGGUUUAAUUCGAUGCAACGCGAAGAACCUUACCUGGCCUUGACAUCCACGGAAUUCGGCAGAGAUGCCUUAGUGCCUUCGGGAACCGUGAGACAGGUGCUGCAUGGCUGUCGUCAGCUCGUGUUGUGAAAUGUUGGGUUAAGUCCCGCAACGAGCGCAACCCUUAUCCUUUGUUGCCAGCGCGUAAUGGCGGGAACUCAAAGGAGACUGCCGGUGAUAAACCGGAGGAAGGUGG
rnacentral:rRNA from 1 species